rnacentral:rRNA from 1 species
UUGGUUAAGUUAGAAAGGGCGCACGGUGGAUGCCUUGGCACUAGGAGCCGAAGAAGGACGGGACUAACACCGAUAUGCUUUGGGGAGCUGUACGUAAGCGUUGAUCCAGAGAUUUCCGAAUGGGGGAACCCACUAUCUUUAGUCGGAUAGUAUCCUUACGUGAAUACAUAGCGUGAGGAAGGCAGACCCAGGGAACUGAAACAUCUAAGUACCUGGAGGAAGAGAAAGAAAAAUCGAUUUCCUGAGUAGCGGCGAGCGAAACGGAAAGAGCCCAAACCAAGAAGCUUGCUUCUUGGGGUUGUAGGACACUCUAUACGGAGUUACAAAAGAAAGUUAUAAAUGAAGCGGUCUGGAAAGGCCCGCCAAAGACGGUAACAGCCCGGUAGUUGAAAUGGCUUUCCCUCCAGAGUGGAUCCUGAGUACGGCGGAACACGUGAAAUUCCGUCGGAAUCCGGGAGGACCAUCUCCCAAGGCUAAAUACUCCCUAGUGACCGAUAGUGAACCAGUACCGUGAGGGAAAGGUGAAAAGCACCCCGGAAGGGGAGUGAAACAGUUCCUGAAACCGUGUGCCUACAAGUAGUUAGAGCCCGUUAAUGGGUGAUAGCGUGCCUUUUGUAGAAUGAACCGGCGAGUUACGAUUUGUUGCAAGGUUAAGCGGAAAAAGCGGAGCCGUAGCGAAAGCGAGUCUGAAUAGGGCGCAUAAGUAACAGGUCGUAGACCCGAAACCAGGUGAUCUACCCAUGUCCAGGAUGAAGGUAAGGUAAUACUUACUGGAGGUCCGAACCCACGCACGUUGAAAAGUGCGGGGAUGAGGUGUGGGUAGCGGAGAAAUUCCAAUCGAACUUGGAGAUAGCUGGUUCUCUCCGAAAUAGCUUUAGGGCUAGCCUCGAGGUAAAGAGUCAUGGAGGUAGAGCACUGUUUGGACUAGGGGCCCUUCUCGGGUUACCGAAUUCAGAUAAACUCCGAAUGCCAUGUACUUAUACUCGGGAGUCAGACUGCGAGUGAUAAGAUCCGUAGUCGAAAGGGAAACAGCCCAGACCACCAGUUAAGGUCCCCAAAUAUAUGUUAAGUGGAAAAGGAUGUGGGGUUGCUUAGACAACCAGGAUGUUGGCUUAGAAGCAGCCACCAUUGAAAGAGUGCGUAAUAGCUCACUGGUCGAGUGACCCCGCGCCGAAAAUGUACCGGGGCUAAAC